GCCAAUGUAGCUCAGUUGGUAGAGCAAUGCUUUCGUAAAGCAUGGGUCGCCGGUUCGAAUCCGGCCAUUGGCU
rnacentral:tRNA from 1 species